ACAAACUUGCACAAAGAUCAAUGAUUAUAUCGAUAUAUAAGGCGGCUACUCUUUAAUCAAUACCAUGAACACCAGACUGCUGCUGAGGCGAUGCAGCUUCGGAAGGAUAUGGCGGCUGCCAGCAAAUCAUCAAUCUCAAAGAAUGAGGCAGCAGUGAAGGCAGCACGCGCAAAUGUGCUGUUCCUGGCAAAGAAGAUGGUUAUAUGUGAUUGUUUAUCAUGUGCAAACCAAUGUUUUUAUGUAUAAAUAAAGUUUAUUAAGACUUA